rnacentral:SRP_RNA from 1 species
GCCGGGCGUGUUGGCACGCGCCUGUAAUCCCAGCUACUCAGGAGGUUGAGGCGGGAGAAUCGCUUGAACCUGGGAGGCAGAGGUUGCAGUGAGCCGAGAUUGUGCCACUGCACUCCAGCCUGGGCAAUAGAGUGAGACUCCGUCUCAA